UAUCUCUGUUUUUAAGGCGUCCCUAAGGCGUCGCUUAGGCGACGCCUAGGCGUCAGGGCGCCCCCAGGAGGCAAGGCGUCGGCCUUGCCUUACAUGUGUGUCUAAGGCGUCCGCCUUAGUCCUUAAGGCGUCCAAGGCGUCCGCCUAGGCGCCACUCUGCCUGCCUUAGGCAAAUAAGGACGCCUUAGACAGAGCUGGGUGGUUUAGGCGGGAAACAGAUAACUGGGAGGGAAGGAAAGGGCGGGAAACUUUGUUUUGGCGCCAACAGCUUCCCCCUCCUCCCCGGCAGAUCCCCCUCCCCUCCUACAGUUCCUCCUCCUCCUCUCCUGCAGAUUCUCCAUCCUCUCCUGCAGAUUCUCCAUCCUCUCCAGAACCAUAUGGGCUCUACAACCAUCAGUUGCAAGGUGUGUAUGGCUGUAUGCCUAGUUGCCUAAUGCCUACCAAAUUCUACUUAAUUCUGUUGCUUACAAGUCUCUAAGGCGUCGCCUCGCCUUAUGCCUUAGCGCUUA